AGUGAACGCUGGCGGUAGGCCUAACACAUGCAAGUCGAACGGCAGCACAGUAAGAGCUUGCUCUUACGGGUGGCGAGUGGCGGACGGGUGAGGAAUACAUCGGAAUCUACUUUUUCGUGGGGGAUAACGUAGGGAAACUUACGCUAAUACCGCAUACGACCUACGGGUGAAAGCAGGGGAUCUUCGGACCUUGCGCGAUUGAAUGAGCCGAUGUCGGAUUAGCUAGUUGGCGGGGUAAAGGCCCACCAAGGCGACGAUCCGUAGCUGGUCUGAGAGGAUGAUCAGCCACACUGGAACUGAGACACGGUCCAGACUCCUACAGGAGGCAGCAGUGGGUAAUAUUGGACAAUGGGCGCAAGCCUGAUCCAGCCAUACCGCGUGGGUGAAGAAGGCCUUCGGGUUGUAAAGCCCUUUUGUUGGGAAAGAAAAGCAGCAGGUUAAUACCCCGCUGUUCUGACGGUACCCAAAGAAUAAGCACCGGCUAACUUCGUG
rnacentral:rRNA from 1 species